rnacentral:rRNA from 1 species
AGAGUUUGAUCAUGGCUCAGAUUGAACGCUGGCGGCAGGCCUAACACAUGCAAGUCGAGCGGUAGCACAGAGAGCUUGCUCUCGGGUGACGAGCGGCGGACGGGUGAGUAAUGUCUGGGAAACUGCCUGAUGGAGGGGGAUAACUACUGGAAACGGUAGCUAAUACCGCAUAAUGUCGCAAGACCAAAGUGGGGGACCUUCGGGCCUCAUGCCAUCAGAUGUGCCCAGAUGGGAUUAGCUAGUAGGUGGGGUAACGGCUCACCUAGGCGACGAUCCCUAGCUGGUCUGAGAGGAUGACCAGCCACACUGGAACUGAGACACGGUCCAGACUCCUACGGGAGGCAGCAGUGGGGAAUAUUGCACAAUGGGCGCAAGCCUGAUGCAGCCAUGCCGCGUGUGUGAAGAAGGCCUUCGGGUUGUAAAGCACUUUCAGCGGGGAGGAAGGCGUUAAGGUUAAUAACCUUGUCGAUUGACGUUACCCGCAGAAGAAGCACCGGCUAACUCCGUGCCAGCAGCCGCGGUAAUACGGAGGGUGCAAGCGUUAAUCGGAAUUACUGGGCGUAAAGCGCACGCAGGCGGUCUGUCAAGUCGGAUGUGAAAUCCCCGGGCUCAACCUGGGAACUGCAUUCGAAACUGGCAGGCUAGAGUCUUGUAGAGGGGGGUAGAAUUCCAGGUGUAGCGGUGAAAUGCGUAGAGAUCUGGAGGAAUACCGGUGGCGAAGGCGGCCCCCUGGACAAAGACUGACGCUCAGGUGCGAAAGCGUGGGGAGCAAACAGGAUUAGAUACCCUGGUAGUCCACGCCGUAAACGAUGUCGAUUUGGAGGUUGUGCCCUUGAGGCGUGGCUUCCGGAGCUAACGCGUUAAAUCGACCGCCUGGGGAGUACGGCCGCAAGGUUAAAACUCAAAUGAAUUGACGGGGGCCCGCACAAGCGGUGGAGCAUGUGGUUUAAUUCGAUGCAACGCGAAGAACCUUACCUGGUCUUGACAUCCACAGAACUUNUUGGUGCCUUCGGGAACUGUGAGACAGGUGCUGCAUGGCUGUCGUCAGCUCGUGUUGUGAAAUGUUGGGUUAAGUCCCGCAACGAGCGCAACCCUUAUCCUUUGUUGCCAGCGGUUAGGCCGGGAACUCAAAGGAGACUGCCAGUGAUAAACUGGAGGAAGGUGGGGAUGACGUCAAGUCAUCAUGGCCCUUACGACCAGGGCUACACACGUGCUACAAUGGCAUAUACAAAGAGAAGCGACCUCGCGAGAGCAAGCGGACCUCAUAAAGUAUGUCGUAGUCCGGAUUGGAGUCUGCAACUCGACUCCAUGAAGUCGGAAUCGCUAGUAAUCGUAGAUCAGAAUGCUACGGUGAAUACGUUCCCGGGCCUUGUACACACCGCCCGUCACACCAUGGGAGUGGGUUGCAAAAGAAGUAGGUAGCUUAACCUUCGGGAGGGCGCUUACCACUUUGUGAUUCAUGACUGGGGUGAAGUCGUAACAAGGUAACCGUAGGGGAACCUGCGGUUGGAUCACCU